UACGUAGGCAGCGAGCUUUGUUCGGAGUUACUGGGCGUAAAGCGUGCGUAGGCGGUGGCCUAAGUCUGUUGUGAAAUCUCCCGGCUUAACCGGGAGGGUGCGGCGGAAACUGGGUUGCUGGAGUGCGGGAGAGGUAAGCGGAAUUCCCGGGGUAGCGGUGAAAUGCGUAGAUAUCGGGAGGAACACCUGUGGCGAAAGCGGCUCACUGGACCACAACUGACGCUGAGGCGCGAAAGCUAGGGGAGCAAACAGG
rnacentral:rRNA from 1 species